rnacentral:rRNA from 1 species
GAAAAGAAAGCAAAAGCGAUUUCCCAAGUAACGGCGAGUGAACAGGAAUAAGCCUAGCGCUAAGGCUCAAUAGGAUGGCUGGCAGCAAUGUCGGUCGUCUUUACGUCAAAGCUAUUGAGCGGUGCAGCGUUACAAACCGCGAUGUUUAGUGGCACCAUUGGCAGUAGUUGGCAACAACUGCUGCUCCCAGCCUAGCAUGCAAGUUCCAUUGACUUGGACUAAUUGCAAAUGACCAAGCGGCCGGGGCAACUCGGCCGCCUGGUUGAGCCAGAGCGGGUGAAAGCCCUAUACCGUGCAGGCAUUGGGGCCACGAAUCGUGGAGGGGGCCCCCUAAGUGGGGUUCCCGAUUUGUUAGAGUCGAGUUGCUUGAGAGUGCAACUUAAAGUGCGAGGUAAACUACUCGUAAGGCUAUGCAAUACGGCUACGACACCGAUAGCAAACAAGUACCGUGAGGGAAAGUUGAAAUAGAACUUUGCAGAGAGAGUUAACAGGGCGUGAAACCGUUAAUUGAGAAACGAAUCGGAGCCACGAAGUCGUUUCGCUGUUUAGUUGGGCCAAGUUCAGUUUGCGAGCGGCUCAUACCCGCUCGCGGGCGUAUUCUUGGUCCGGCCAACUUUGUAAGCGUACACUGCAACCAGUUAGACGAUUGGCCAUGGGCACAGCUGGUCCGCGGGGGCCCCAAAGCCUCCCGGUCCAGCGCAGCAUUUGUUUGUCCGAGUUAGCAGUAGCGCUUGGCGCCUCGGCGUCCAAGUGUUGCUUGGCGCGGACAAGUGAGCUAUGGCCAAAUACUGACUGGCACAAUGAAAAUCGCCUCACCGGCGUUUGACACAACGCAACCGGCCGCAUGGGUGCCUACACCAGCGACUAGUUGGUCUCUAAGCUUGGCGUCUUUGAAUUUGGACUUGCUUGCUACCAGUGGGGCAACUCCUGGUGCUUGUACAGCUUCCAUCUAAUCGGGCGUCGACUUGGCCGGCUAUUGUUCGCUGGUGAACCGAUUGGGUGCACAUGCGAGUCGGCUCGCAAUGA